AGUGAACGCUGGCGGUAGGCCUAACACAUGCAAGUCGAACGGCAGCACAGUAAGAGCUUGCUCUUACGGGUGGCGAGUGGCGGACGGGUGAGGAAUACAUCGGAAUCUACUUUUUCGUGGGGGAUAACGUAGGGAAACUUACGCUAAUACCGCAUACGACCUACGGGUGAAAGCAGGGGAUCUUCGGACCUUGCGCGAUUGAAUGAGCCGAUGUCGGAUUAGCUAGUUGGCGGGGUAAAGGCCCACCAAGGCGACGAUCCGUAGCUGGUCUGAGAGGAUGAUCAGCCAAACUGGGACUGAGACACGGUCCAGACUCCUACGGGAGGCAGCAGUGGGGAAUAUUGGACAAUGGGCGCAAGCCUGAUCCAGCCAUACCGCGUGGGUGAAGAAGGCCUUCGGGUUGUAAAGCCCUUUUGUUGGGAAAGAAAAGCAGCAGGUUAAUACCCCGCUGUUCUGACGGUACCCAAAGAAUAAGCACCGGCUAACUUCGUG
rnacentral:rRNA from 1 species